rnacentral:misc_RNA from 1 species
GAAAAACAAGAAAAGAUAAUCAAUUUUGAAAAACCAAGUUUCAUUUUGAAAAAUCCCUAAAUCUUAACACAGUGUCCUUCCUUUUGAGUUUUCCACCAUGUAGAGGGUCGAAAACUUCCUUCAAAGAACCUCUUGUUGCUUCAUAAAUUAGUUUGGAAAUUUUAUUCAAUCCCAGCAAGUUGUCUCCAAUAUCAUUACAUUUAAUAAGUUCUUUUUAUGGUAUUUUAGCUUCUUGUGAAUUUGGGGUGUGUGUGUGUGCGUGCGCGCGC